rnacentral:rRNA from 1 species
CGGGAAGAGCUCAAAUUUAAAAUCUGGCAGUCUUUUUGGCUGUCCGAGUUGUAAUUUAGAGAAGUGUUGCCCGCGCUGGACCAUAUACAAGUCCUCUGGAAUGGGGUGUCAUAGAGGGUGAGAAUCCCGUCUU